GGCGACGUUACUCGAAGCUUCAACAAAAAAGACGUGAAAAGAUCAAGCACAAUAUUUUUUGUUGAUUUUAACUGUAGUUCAUUGAAUUACAGACCCUGAUGAGGGCAAAUAUGAGCGGAGACAAUAUAGAUCUCAACGUAUUUCAUUAUCGAGAAAAAUCAUUAGGUCCAGAGCUGCCCGAUGGACGUAAGAGAAAUCAAAGCGUUUCUCGUGUUAGACGGUAUCGUAAUCGCAGCUCAACACCAUACCGGCACACUCCUAAAGU